AUGGUGCCGGUGACCUACGUCGUGGGGGUCGGGUUGGCGACGCCUAAGAGGAUGGUGUACCUGGGGGACGAUUUCGAGGCAACGCCCGGCGUGGACGUUGGGGACAGCGACGGCCUGGUCAACCUGGCGAGCCUGGUCGCCGUGGAGCCGGAGUGGAGGCGUCGUGGUCCUUAUUUUAGGAUGGUCAAGGUGGCCAACGUGAAUCACACGGCCAUUCUGGUUGAUGAUCGUGCGCUUGGGAUUGUCCUGAGAGAAAUUCGACGAGCUAAUUAG
rnacentral:rRNA from 1 species